rnacentral:misc_RNA from 1 species
GAUGAAGAACGCAGCGAAAUGCGAUAAGUAAUGCGAAUUGCAGAAUUCAGUGAGUCAUCGAAUCUUUGAACGCACAUUGCGCCCUGUGGUAUUCCGCAGGGCAUGCCUGUUCGAGCGUCAUUUCAACCCUCAAGCUCUGCUUGGUGUUGGGCCCUGCCCGCUGCGGCCGGCCCUAAAGACAGUGGCGGUGCCGCCUGGCCCUGAGCGUAGUACAUCUCUCGCUCCAGUGCCCGGUGGUAGCAUGCCAGAACCCCAACUCUCGUGGUUGACAUCGGAUCAGGUAGGGAUACCCGCUGAACUUAAGCAUAUCAAUAAGCGGAGGA